CCUCGUCCGUCUGCAUGGCCGACUGCAUUAAACAUAAGCGGCUUUACUUGAUAGGGCUCCAUCCAGCUUUAAUUACCGCAAAGUCUGCGGACGGCGCUCUGCACAACAAGUGAGGAAAAAGACUCGCCUGUGGGAGUAAUGCCGUAACUGCGGCAUUGAAUAGCGAAAUCCAAUAUGAAUGGUGGCUGUGAUUAUUGCAAGAAUGGACUCAAAAGGAGAAGAGUCGUGAGGGUUGUGAUGAUGGAUGUGCUGCACUUCUUCUUCCAGACAGUUUUGUCUGCGGAGUGGACACAGAGACAGUGAAGGUCGAAGACUGGCGCUGAAGGAGGUACUGGGUCUUGUCCUCCCUUCCCAUCUGCCCCGGCACCGCCGCCACGGCCCCCAAGCUUGCGGCGCUGACACCCCCGGGUUGCCACAGUGAUGGAUGACACAGCCCUCAGUUCUGCUGUCACAGUCCUGCACCUCUGCCGCCCGCCACGUGGGCCCCCCGUCAAAGAGUUUCUUUCGGGUCAGCCACACCUCACUGUCAUUUUUUUUCUUCAUCACUCUCCUUUAUUUAGCUCACAACUUAUUUUGUUUGGAGACCUUUCCAUUGCCCACGACAUACGAUUCGAAUCGGGCCCGGGCAUUAUGCGACAAAAUUCCCACAGCGUGACCUCAGUUUGCCAACACGUAUUCUAAACAGUGAAAGGCCUUUUAAUUUAGGGCCAAAGAUCCAUGGACAAAUCUAUCUCUCAAAUAAAUGAUCUGACUUGCACCGCCACCUUUAUCUUCCUUUUUAAUCCGCAACUUUGAUUCAGGAUGCCGAGCAACACGGUAACCCCGUCUGACAUCAUGUACCGAGCGCUUUGAUUCUGGACGAAGAGUGGGCCGCUUUUAUUACACUCGUUGAUAGCGCUAAAAAUGUAGUUUUAAAAUAUAAAUAAUAAUAAUAUGGGGUCACUGAUGAUCCUUCUUCAAUCCCUAACAGACUGCUUGUAAAAUGGUGAUGAGGUCAGGACUUAAGUCACUUGAAAUUUUAUGAAUGAGCCCAACUAGCUGGUUUUUUUUUCAUCCGUGUUAAACACCCACUGAAGUGAAACCUUUUUGUCAAUUUAGCCACUUAAAUUCAUAAAGUGUGCCAACAGGAGAAUAAAUAUUGUUAUCAUGACAACUAGGGGCAGAGUUAGGAGGAGCCACUUGUAAAGCCCACAGUGUAAGUUUGAACUUAGCCUCCUCGGUGUCAUGUAGAUAACAAACUUUUUCAUUUCAGCACUUUGAAAAAUACGUGUUUCUAUGUUCUCAACGUCAUGUGAUAUGCACUCAAGUUUGAUAGC